AGACCCGAAACCCGGUGAUCUAGCCAUGGGCAGGUUGAAGGUUGGGUAACACUAACUGGAGGACCGAACCGACUAAUGUUGAAAAAUUAGCGGAUGACCUGUGGCUGGGGGUGAAAGGCCAAUCAAACCGGGAGAUAGCUGGUUCUCCCCGAAAGCUAUUUAGGUAGCGCCUCGUGAAUUCAUCUCCGGGGGUAGAGCACUGUUUCGGCCAGGGGGCCAUCCCGGCUUACCAACCCGAUGCAAACUGCGAAUACCGGAGAAUGUUAUCACGGGAGACACACGGCGGGUGCUAACGUCCGUCGUGAAGAGGGAAACAACCCAGACCGCCAGCUAAGGUCCCAAAGUCAUGGUUAAGUGGGAAACGAUGUGGGAAGGCCCAGACAGCCAGGAUGUUGGCUUAGAAGCAGCCAUCAUUUAAAGAAAGCGUAAUAGCUCACUGGUCGAGUCGGCCUGCGCGGAAGAUGUAACGGGGCUAAACCAUGCACCGAAGCUGCGGCAGCGAACGUAUCACUUAAAGCGAUUCAGCGGAUGACGAUUGACGGAGCG
rnacentral:rRNA from 1 species